rnacentral:rRNA from 1 species
UUUUCUGCCACCGAAUACAUUAGCAUGGGAUAAUGGAAUAGGACCCUGUCCUCCUAUUUUCAGUUGGUUUUGGCAGCGCGAGGACUAGGGUAAUGAUUAAUAGGGAUAGUUGGGGGCAUUAAUAUUUAAUUGUCAGAGGUGAAAUUCUUGGAUUUAUGAAAGAUUAACUUCUGCGAAAGCAUCUGCCAAGGAUGUUUUCAUUAAUCAAGAACGAAAGUUAGGGGAUCGAAGACGAUCAGAUACCGUCGUAGUCUUAACCAUAAACGAUGCCGACCAGCGAUUAGGAGACGUUGAAUACAAAACACCACCAUCGGCGCGGUCGUCCUUGGCGUUCGUGUUCACGCACGAGCGCGAGGGCGGUUUAGCCCGAUGGCACCGGUGAAUGACUCCCCUAGCAGCUUGUGAGA